UACAGAUUUAUAGAAAACUCAUGAAGCUAAUACAGAGAAUUUUCAUCUGCCCGCACAGCCAGUCUCCCCUGUUAUUAUCAUCUUAUGUUGGGUCCCAUCUAGGAUAUCAUUACAUGAAGUGAUCGCGUCUCCUUUGGCCCUCACUGGCUCUCACAGUUUCUCAGCCUCCCCUAGUUUUGAUGACCUUGACAAUUUUGAUGAAUAUAGUUACAUUCCACAGUGAUCCUAUUUUGGAAGACACUUUGAGAUGGAGAGUUCUUCCUGUCUCUCUGGAGUAUCGCUGAGUUUGCUCACACAAAGCCCCUUUGAAGGAUAUGGUAUGUUGUCGUUCACCUUUAGUGCUCUACAGAAAUAACAAGCCUCCUUUAUUUGUUCUAUUCACAAGGAAAGAAUUGCUGGCGACAUGUCUCUUCAGGAUAAAUACUGUGAAAUUUGAAAACAUGAUCAGCCAAUAACGGGAAAAGAGUAAAGGUUUAGAGUCGGCUUCUCAAGCUUUUCCAGUGAUGUCCCCUUAAAGGCAUGGCAGGAUGAACUUUUAUAUCUAUGUGGUUUGAAUGCUCUAGCAUAGAUUUAAACACUCCUUUACAUCUUAUUUAAAGAAUAUUACUUAAUCUUUAAGAUGUGCAGUUUUGUAACCCUUAGUAUACAUGCUGUUUUAUUUGAGAAAGAAUUACUACGUCUACUCCCCGACCUGUCACCUUUUCAAGUCAUCCAGCCAUGUCCAUGCUCCGAAAGGUUUAUCAUACUUACCUUAUGUCUAUGCUUCAUCUCUAAGAAGCUUGGGGGGAAAUCUGAUAUUCAGUCUAGAAGCACAAAUUUGGAAAAUACUUCAGCCAAAGUAGAAAUAGACCAAAUAAGAAUUUUGGCUUCUAUGAACUGUUUUUGAGGUGAUUGUCAUGAGCAUAAGCUCCUUUCUGACAUUCUGAUGUUAGGCAGGAUGGUCCCUGGGAGGCCAGUUAUUCCUGGAUGAGGACAACAGAAAGGCAAGAGAAAAGUGAUUCAGGUUCUAUGCUGAUGACAUAUUUUUCUACAAAGUUCAUUGUUUAUAUAUUAGAAUAUUAAACAUUAAAAACCUCACCUAACUCACUAUUCAAUUGAAAGCACAAUUUAAUGAGAAAUAAUAAGUCAUAGUCGG
ensembl:lncRNA